UGGGGAAUAUUGGACAAUGGGCGCAAGCCUGAUCCAGCCAUGCCGCGUGAGUGAUGAAGGCCUUAGGGUUGUAAAAUCCUUUCGCCGAGGACGAUAAUGACGGUACUCGGAGAAGAAGCUCCGGCUAACUUCGUGCAAGCAGCCGCGGUAAUACGAAGGGGGCUAGCGUUGUUCGGAUUUACUGGGCGUAAAGCGCGUGUAGGCGGGCUGGUAAGUUGGGGGUGAAAUCCCGAGGCUCAACCUCGGAACUGCCUCCAAAACUGUCAGCCUGGACUCAAGUAGAGGCAAGUGGAAUUGCGAGUGUAGAGGUGAAAUUCGUAGAUAUUCGCAGGAACACCAGUGGCGAAGGCGACUUGCUGGACUUGUAGUGACGCUGAGACGCGAAAGCGUGGGGAGCAAACAGGAUUAGAUACCCGGGUAGUCCCUGAGCGGGCUGGCAAGGCGCAU
rnacentral:rRNA from 1 species